rnacentral:rRNA from 1 species
UACAGAGGUGGCAAGCGUUGUUCGGAUUUACUGGGCGUAAAGGGUGCGUAGGAGGUCGUGUGUGUCGGAUGUGAAAUCUUGCUGUUUAUCGGCAAAACUGCAUUCGAAACUACAUGGCUAGAGUACAGGAGAGGAGAGCAGAAUUCUCGGUGUAGCGGUGAAAUGCGUUGAUAUCGAGAGGAAUGCCGGUGGUGAAGACGGCUCUCUGGACUGUAACUGACUCUGAGGCACGAAAGCUAGGGGAGCAAACAGG